rnacentral:lncRNA from 7 species
GAAUUGAACGCAAAAUUAUGUUUCCAGUAUUUUCUCUCAAGUCCACAGCACAGCCACACACUACAAUUAACAUAUCAGCAUCGGACCGAAUACACAAGAUUUGUCAACUUGUCUUAAAUAAAUCCACAUGCCAUACUACAAAACUAAACAGUUGGCAUGUAUUAAUUCAGGAAACACAAGCACGGUCCAUCAUCAGAGAUUAAAUUUGCUGUGCAUCGGGACACAGCUAUAAAUAAUCCAGGAAACAAGCAUGGUUCUUCUCAAAUUA